rnacentral:rRNA from 1 species
AUGGCCAAGGGAAAAGAUCUUAGAAUCAGAGUUAUUUUGGAAUGCAUCAGUUGUGUUCGAAAAGGUGCCAAUGAGGAAUCGACGGGGAUUUUUAGAUACAGUACUCAAAAGAAUCGCCACAAGCAUGAUCACCUACUGCAAACUCCAAAUAUCGUGGUCGGCGUACCUGGUCCUGAACUGCUUUUAAUCUAG